CAAUGGCAGGUACAGAGGGGUGCUACCGGGUGACCGGAUGCCGAUCUCGAAAACCUGUCCCAGUUCGGACUGGAGUCUGCAACCCGACUCCACGAAGUUGGAUUCGCUAGUAAUCGCGCAUCAGCCAUGGCGCAGUGAAUACGUUCCCGGGCCUUGUACACACCGCCCGUCAAGCCAUGGGAGCCGGGGGCGCCUGAAGUCCGGGACCGCGAGGACCGGCCUAGGGCGAAACUGGUGACUGGGGCUAAGUCGUAACAAGGUAUC
rnacentral:rRNA from 1 species